AAUAAAAGAUGAGCUUGAAAAAAAAGACAAGCAUAUGUCUGAAUCUUUAAUGAAGAGAAACUUUUUCGUGUCUGAUAUU
rnacentral:snoRNA from 1 species